rnacentral:rRNA from 1 species
GGCCAAUCAAACCUGGAGAUAGCUGGUUCUCCCCGAAAGCUAUUUAGGUAGCGCCUCGGACGAAUACUACUGGGGGUAGAGCACUGUUAAGGCUAGGGGGUCAUCCCGACUUACCAACCCUUUGCAAACUCCGAAUACCAGUAAGUACUAUCCGGGAGACACACGGCGGGUGCUAACGUCCGUCGUGGAGAGGGAAACAACCCAGACCGCCAGCUAAGGUCCCAAAUUACUACUAAGUGGGAAACGAUGUGGGAAGGCUCAGACAGCCAGGAUGUUGGCUUAGAAGCAGCCAUCAUUUAAAGAAAGCGUAAUAGCUCACUGGUCGAGUCGGCCUGCGCGGAAGAUGUAACGGGGCUAAGUAGUAAACCGAAGCUGCGGCAAUGUGCUUUUGCACAUUGGGUAGGGGAGCGUUCUGUAAGCGGUUGAAGGUGUGUGGUAACGCAUGCUGGACGUAUCAGAAGUGCGAAUGCUGACAUGAGUAACGAUAAAGGGGGUGAAAAACCUCCUCGCCGGAAGACCAAGGGUUCCUGUCCAACGUUAAUCGGGGCAGGGUAAGUCGACCCCUAAGGCGAGGCCGAAAGGCGUAGUCGAUGGGAAACGGGUUAAUAUUCCCGUACUUCUUACAAUUGCGAUGGGG